AGAAUGGGCGCAGCCUGAUCAGCCAUGCCGCGUGAGUGAUGAAGGCCCUAGGGUUGUAAAGCUCUUUCAGCGAGGAGGAUAAUGACGUUACUCGCAGAAGAAGCCCCGGCUAACUUCGUGCCAGCAGCCGCGGUAAUACGAAGGGGGCUAGCGUUGUUCGGAAUCACUGGGCGUAAAGCGCACGUAGGCGGACUGAUCAGUCAGGGGUGAAAUCCCGGGGCUCAACCCCGGAACUGCCUUUGAUACUGUCAGUCUUGAGUCCGAGAGAGGUGAGUGGAACUCCGAGUGUAGAGGUGAAAUUCGUAGAUAUUCGGAAGAACACCAGUGGCGAAGGCGGCUCACUGGCUCGGUACUGACGCUGAGGUGCGAAAGCGUGGGGAGCAAACAGGAUUAGAUACCCCGGUAGUCCAA
rnacentral:rRNA from 1 species